rnacentral:rRNA from 1 species
UACGUAGGGUGCGAGCGUUAAUCGGAAUUACUGGGCGUAAAGCGUGCGCAGGCGGUUUUUUAAGACAGGCGUGAAAUCCCCGGGCUCAACCUGGGAACUGCGCUUGUGACUGGAAGACUAGAGUGUGUCAGAGGGGGGUGGAAUUCCGCGUGUAGCAGUGAAAUGCGUAGAGAUGCGGAGGAACACCGAUGGCGAAGGCAGCCCCUGGGAUAACACUGACGCUCAUGCACGAAAGCGUGGGGAGCAAACAGGAUUAGAUACCCCGGUAGU